GAGAGUAUAGCUCAGUGGUAGAGCGCAUGCUUAGCAUGCACAAGGUCCUGGGUUUGAUCCUCAGUACCUCCA
rnacentral:tRNA from 1 species